rnacentral:rRNA from 1 species
AACCUGGUUGAUCUUGCCAGUAGUCAUAUGCUUGUCUCAAAGAUUAAGCCAUGCAAGUGAAAGUAUAUGCAUAUUUUAUAUGUAGAAACUGCGAACGGCUCAUUAAAACAGUUAUAAUCUACUUGACAUUUUUUCUAUAAGGAUAACUACGGAAAAGCUGUAGCUAAUACUUGCUUUAGCACUCUUGAUUAAUUUCUUGAGUGUGUACUUGUUAAGCCUUUUAAGAAAAAAGUUAUUAACUUAAGGAAUUAUAACAAAGAAGCAACACGUAAAUGGAUUUUCCAUUUUUUAGUGUGUAUCAAUCGAGUUUCUGACCUAUCAGCUUUUGAUGUUAGGGUAUUGGCCUAACAUGGCUAUGACGGGUAACGGGGAAUUAGAGUUCGAUUCCGGAGAGGGAGCCUGAGAAAUAGCUACCACAUCUAAGGAAGGCAGCAGGCGCGUAAAUUACCCAAUUCUAAAGAAGAGAGGUAGUGACAAGAAAUAACAAUACAAGGCCAAUCUGGCUUUGUAAUUGGAAUGAUGGGAAUUUAAAACCUUCCCAAAACUCAAUUGGAGGGCAAGUCUGGUGCCAGCAGCCGCGGUAAUUCCAGCUCCAAUAGCGUAUAUUAAAAUUGUUGCAGUUAAAACGCUCGUAGUUGAAUUUCAAAGAAUCGAUAUUUUAAGUAGCGCUUUGUAGAUUAAUCCACAUAACUGAUACUACGUAUCGACUUUGUGCGCAUUUUUCUACUUAUGUGUUCUUUUAAUUAAAAUGAUUCUUUUUAAGAUCUUUCUUUUUUGCUUCGGCAUUUUAGGAGAUCUUGUUACUUUGAGUAAAUUAGAGUGUUCAAAGCAAACAGAUUAUAGCAUCUUUAUGCGUUUGAAUACUACAGCAUGGAAUAACAAAAUCGAACAAGUCAGAAUUUUGUUCUUUUUUCUUAUUUUGGCUUAGUUACGAUUAAUAGGAGUAGCUUGGGGGCAUUUGUAUUCAGAUGUCAGAGGUGAAAUUCUUAGAUUUUCUGGAGACAAACAACUGCGAAAGCAUUUGCCCAAAAUACUUCCAUUAAUCAAGAACGAAAGUUAAGGGAGUGAAGACGAUCAGAUACCGUCGUAAUCUUAACCAUAAACUAUGCCGACUAGGCUUUGGAUGAAAGAUUUUAAAAUAAGAGUUUUUUCUCUGAGGAGUUAAAACUCUUAGAUUGCUUCCUUCAGUGCCUUAUGAGAAAUCAAAGUCUUUGGGUUCUGGGGCGAGUAUUCGCGCAAGCGAGAAAGUUAAAAGAAUUGACGGAAGGGCACCACCAGGCGUGGAGCUUGCGGCUUAAUUUGACUCAACACGGGAAAACUCACUAGUUUAAGACAAGAGUAGGAUUGACAGAUUAAUAGCUCUUUCUUGAUUUCUUGGAUGGUGAUGCGUGGCCGUUUUUAGUUCGUGAAUAUGAUUUGUCUGGUUAAUUCCGAUAACGAACGAGAUCUUAACCUGCUAAUUAGCGGCAAAUACGAUACAUUCUUAUGUGGAAUUGAAUAUAGUUGAUUUGCUUAUUUUGAAGAAAAUAUUGGGAUACGUAAAUGUACCCCUUUCCCUUUUCUACUUAAUUUGCUUAUCAUACUAUUUCUUUUUUGCGUAAGAAUGUAUUUGCUUGAUUGUAAAGCUUCUUAGAGGAACGAUGUGUGUCUAACACAAGGAAGUUUAAGGCAACAACAGGUCUGUGAUGUCCUUAGAUGAACUAGGCUGCACGCGUGCUACACUGAUAUGUAUAACGAGUUUUAUAAAAUUACGUUUCUGCUUGCAGAUUCGUACUUUUCCUCCACUGAAAAGUGUAGGUAAUCUUUAUCAAUACAUAUCGUGAUGGGGAUAGAUUAUUGCAAUUAUUAAUCUUGAACGAGGAAUGCCUAGUAAGCAUGAUUCAUCAGAUUGUGCUGACUACGUCCCUGCCCUUUGUACACACCGCCCGUCGCUCCUACCGAUUGAAAGAUAUGAUGAAUUGUUUGGACAAGAAGAAAGGAGAUUAUAUCUUCUUUUUUCUGGAAAAACCGUAAAUCCUAUCUUUUAAAGGAAGGAGAAGUCGUAACAAGGUUUCCGUAGGUGAACCUGCGGAAGGAUCAUUA